AUUAGCGGCGCUGCCUCGCGUGGCGCGGGUUGUCACCGGGGCUCCCGAGGCACUCCAGGCCCGUAGUGCCCAUCGCUACGCUCGUCUCCUUCCUCCGCGCUGGGCACCCCGGUGCCCCGAAUGGUGGCUGCCGGUGGCGAAUCUGCGGCGCAGGAUGGGCGCGCAGGGAGGGCCUGUGGACGCCUAGUGCCAGCUGCGCUUUAGCGCCUUUUUUCCCUCACGGACGGCCCGCGGCCGCUGAGGGAAGUUUAGCGCCUUUUUCCCCUCACGGGCUGCCCUCGGCUCCUGAGGGAAGUUUAGCGCCUUUUUCCCCUCAUGGACGGCCCGCGGCCCCUCAGGGAGUUUGGCGUCUUUUUUCCCUCACAAGCAGCGGGCGGUCCCUGAAGCCCCCAGAGCUGCCGUGAGGCCACGGGAAAACGCUGCGGGAUCGUGUCCGAGCCAGAAUAAUAUCCCACAAAAGCAGCGCUGGAGUCAGGUGAACCGUCCGUCAGUGCUGGAGGAUCCUGGUCCGUGCAGUGUGGGGCCGGAAUGGCUGUUUGGGAUGGCAGCGCUUCCAGAGGCCGCUGAGUAGAGCAGGACGAGCUCUGAGGGCAGCGGGAAGGAGCCGAUGUGAGAGACAAUGUCAGAGGAAGGGGAUGGCGUUAGGGACGGCUGGGAAGGCCAGAUGGACCCCGGAUAAUAAAUAUGUUAAUUAUCAACUAAAUCAGCUUGACCAACUCAAAACACUCUGCUGCUGAAUCACACGGGAUUAUAAAUUACCCAGUAGUCUGGGAAUUAUGCACAUUUCCUUGCAGAAAUCAGCAAAGUUAUAACACACAGGUAAAACCCUCACAAAUAUCAAACAAGGUGAAGCAUGUGGCUCUGAGGGUGUGAAGAGUGACCUCAGCAUUCAGCUUAAAGAGCCUUUUACACUGAAAACUAUCUAAGUGACUGAAUUAGAUAUGAAAACUUUGGCAGUGAAACUUGAAAGUUUGAUGUUGAAUGUUUGACGUUGAAAUUAAAUGUUUGGCAUUGAAAUGAUCUCACAUGGCCAAUAAGAUAUUUCUAGAUAUUCGUGAGGGAGAACUUAGGUGGAUCUGAAGGAGGGCCAAGGAGGAUGGUACCUGCCUAACCCAAAAGGAUGGUAGAAGGUGAAAAGAAGAAAAACUAACUGAAUAUGUGUUGUUGCAAGUUGGGUCCAUUUUCAAUGCCUACAUUUCCACUGAGUCAGUUUGUUUUCAUGCUUAAACUUAUUUUUAUGAACAAAUAAGAAACGAGCUCUGCCCUCAUCUGCUUAGACUCUGCUGACUGUACCCACAAUGGACACUUGUUGACAUGCAGCAGAAUAAUCUGUGACUUCAAUUUGAUAUUAAAGCCAGAGUUGGAAAGAUUCCUCAGCCAGCAAAAUAUGUCUCACUAGUUCACCAGCUUCACUGGGUCAGGAAAAAGUAAAGAAAAGUUCGCAUCUUACUGCGGUAAAAUCCACAUCCCUUCCCCGAAAAUCUGCUGCAUUGAAAGGAAUUACUGUACCUCAUAGAGGCUGCGGGAGGAACUGUACGGCCAGGGAAUGGCUCCGUACUCUGCAAGAAAUGUGACGGUAGGAGAGAGAAAGCAAAGGAUAAAGGUGCAGCUGCCCAGUGUGAAGGUCUCUGGCAAGAGGACAUGGAAGGACAGAACCUCCCAGCUGCAUGGCUGGGUUGCUAGCAGUGCUGCUGGCAGGCGCCUCCACCAUUGCUAGAGAUGUCACAGAAUUUCCAUCCCUGAAGGUGUAAAGGGAAAACCUGGCUAUGAGAUUCCUGAAGGCUAAAGCAGCCGGCGGUACGUGGCGAUCUCCAUCUCCAGGCGAGUCUUGACAUCCAUCAGGAUGCUGUACUGAUU